rnacentral:rRNA from 1 species
GUGAAUCUCGGGCAGGGAGCCGUGGGUAGAAGUAGGUUGCGAGGGGUGUCCGGACUUACGUGGCGUAAAGCGAAAGCGGGUGGUCUGGUAAGUGGGACGUAAAAGCGCCUGGCGUAACUGGGAGGGGUCGUUGGAGACUGGCAGACGUGAGGCAAUGAGAGGGGCAUGGAAUUCCCGGUGUAGUGGUGGAAUGCGUAGAGAUCGGGAGGAACACCAGAGGCGAAAGCGGUGCCCUGGCAUUGGCCUGACGCUGAGAUGCGAAAGCGUGGGGAGCGAACGGGAUUAGAUACCCCUGUAGUC